UACGUAGGGGUGCGAGCGUUGUCCGGAAUUACUGGGCGUAAAGAGCUCGUAGGUGGUUUGUCGCGUUGUCCGUGAAAACUCACAACUCAAUUGUGGGCGUGCGGGCGAUACGGGCAGACUGGAGUACUGCAGGGGAGACUGGAAUUCCUGGUGUAGCGGUGGAAUGCGCAGAUAUCAGGAGGAACACCGGUGGCGGAAGGCGGGAUCCUGGGCCAGUACUGACGCUGAGGAGCGAAAGCGUGGGGAGCAAAC
rnacentral:rRNA from 1 species